AAAAGUUCUCUCUUUCUCUCUCUCUCUCUCUCUCUCUCUCUCCCCCCUUCUCUUUCUCUCUCCUUUCACCCUCUUGACAUAGAGUAGUAGGGAGAAUAAAAAGGGGUCACAAAGAUGAAACCAAAGGACGGGUUUGUUAAAGAUGAUGCAGGUCCCUAUAAGGGUAUUCUCAUGCAUGUGAGUAGCAGCAAGAUGAGCAUGGUCAAGGUCAACCCUUUGAGAAUUGGGAGGUGUGACCAAGCUAGUGGCUCUGAAAUUGGAGCUGACACUUCUCUUGGAGUGGUGGCAGCUUCAUUCUAAUACGGUGCUAUCCUAUCUGAGCUUUUUACACUCUUCUUCAUCUAAUUUCUACCACACUUGUUUGUCUUCUUUUCUCCUUGUUUUCCCUUAGAGUCUUCUUGACCUUGUAAGACCUUUUCUUGACCUUGUAAGACCUCACACCAUGUCUGUUUUCUUUGUUUUUGCUUUUGUGGAAGACCCUAUAUCAGAAUCCACUGAUAUAGAGUUUGAUCUCUUUCUUUCCCCGUUACCGCCCAACUCAUCCUCUCUUUCCUUGUCUAUCCCUCCUGAGCUGCUUCAAUUUUGCCCAAGCAUGCAACAAUUGGUGAUGUUAUGGUAUAUGAGCUUCAAAGGAAUCAACGAGUUUGAAGAAGAACCUCUAUGAAUGAACGGGGGGUUCUUGAAACGUUGGAGACCAUGAGUUAAAAAGUACAAUUGGGGCAAGGACAAGCAAUUUGGGAUAGAAUACAACCUGAGCCCAUAAGGAAUAUUACACCCCCAAUGUUUUCAAGGGGCAGCGACAGUGACCUACCCACCUCAAAUAGUGAAGAAUAAUAGGUUGG